UAGCAGUGCAGGUCAUAGGAAAGCGAGUAUGUGUCAUAGAGGGUUGCCUUCACGUUCAGGCAGCCAAUAAAGUCCUGAGGGUUCAGCUUGUACAGGUCGAAGGUUACCCGGGCCACAUCGAUCUUCUUAGUUGGCUUCUGGGAAAGGGCUAGCUGGGCUCUCUUCUUGCGCUGCAAGACAAGCCCGUGUAAGCUCACCUCUGGAACAUCUCCCGAGCUCUCGACAUUCACCCCUGCCCCGGGAAGGCCGUCACCUGUUCUGAUGGGGGCUUCCACUUCUGCCCCUUCAGCAGGACCAUGAACAUGGUAUCUUUUGCCAGGGCUUGGAAGUAUUCUUCUGUCUCCACGAUUGUGCCAUCUUCCUCCAGCACCAGGGAGAAGGGCUUGUCUUUAAGUUUCAAGAUGUCCUGGACCUGGAAGAAGGUUAGUGACUUUUCUGCCAUGCCUAUGGAGCAGCAGUGCUGAGAGGCAAAGACUUCCGCCAAAGCACCCAGCUGCCAGAGAAAGACCAAGGAAGCUGGGUCUUACUAAGACACUUAGGUUGGCCUGGACCUCACCAUGUAGCACAGGCAGGGGCUGCUGUCUGUUUCUCUCUUCCUGCCUCAGCCUCUCAGUUCCAGGGAUCUGUCACCUCGUCAGGCCUCCGUGGACACUGCAUGCAUAUGGUGUAAAACACUAUACACCAGAGAGCCGGGACUAAAGGUGUGUGCCACCAAACUGGUUAAGACGAGUACUUUAUAAAUGCCUACACAUCCGUAGGCACAGCUGAUCAGGAAGCUGAUUCUAAGGCAGCAACACGAAGCUAGAGCUGUACAGCCUUUCUGUCCUGUAGUCACCUGUCCGGUGGGGACUCACUGGCUCUCACGAGAUGCAUUAUUUAGAGCUAAGCCAAUCCCUGGAAGAGGCGACAUUCCUUCAUCGAGUACUUUCAGUGUGUGCCACGCUAGGGGCUGACAAUACAUCAGAAAGCAAGACGGCCUUAGCCCACACCUGGAGGAGCUGGGCUGGAAACAGAAGCAAAUGCACGAAUGAGCAAUGGGAGCCAGGAGUGGUGAUGUACACCCCUCUCUCUCACCCGGAGCCUCCAGAGGCUGACGCACAAACAUCACCAGUCUAAGACCAGCCUGGGCCACACAGUGAAAGGUCUUACCUCAAAGAAAAAAAAAAAGUUUUGUUUAUUUAUUCGUUGUUUCAUGUUGUUUCUUUCUUUGUUUCCUAAU
rnacentral:lncRNA from 1 species